rnacentral:rRNA from 1 species
UACGUAGGUGUCGAGCGUUAUCCGGAAUUACUGGGCGUAAAGGGCACGCAGGCGGUCUGGGAAGUUCGACGUGAAAGCUUCCGGCUUAACUGGGAGAGGUCGUUGGAAACUAUCAGACUGGAGGAAGUGAGAGGGAGGCGGAAUUCCCGGUGUAGUGGUGGAAUGCGUAGAGAUCGGGAAGAACACCAGUGGCGAAAGCGGCCUUCUGGCACUUUACUGACGCUGAGGUGCGAAAGCGUGGGGAGCGAACGGGAUUAGAAACCCCCGUAGUCC